rnacentral:rRNA from 1 species
GAUGAACGCUGGCGGCGUGCCUAAUACAUGCAAGUCGAGCGAACAGACGAGGAGCUUGUUCCUCUGACGUUAGCGGCGGACGGGUGAGUAACGCGUGGAUAACCUACCUAUUAGACUGGGAUAACUUCGGGAAACCGCUUCUAAUACCGCAUAAUAUAUUGAACCGCAUGUUUCAAUAGUGCAAGACGCCUUUGCUGUUUUCUAUAGUUGGAUCCGCGUCGGAUUGUCUAGUUGUUAAGGUAACGGCUUAACAAGGGAACGAUCCGUAGCCGACCUGAGAGGGGGAUCGGCCACACUGGAACUGAGAAACGGUCCAGACUCCUACGGGAGGCAGCAGUAGGGAAUAUUGGGCAAAGGGAGAAAGCCUGACGGAGCAAGGCCGCGUGAGUGAUGAAGGUCUUCGGAUCGUAAAACUCUGUUAUUAGGAAAGAACAAAUGUGGAAGUAAAAAUGCACGUAGUGACGGUACCUAAUCAGAAAGCCACGGCUAACUACGUG